rnacentral:rRNA from 1 species
AGUGAACGCUGGCGGUAGGCCUAACACAUGCAAGUCGAACGGAAGCACAGUAAGAGCUUGCUCUUACGGGUGGCGAGUGGCGGAAGGGUGAGGAAUACAUCGGAAUCUACUUUUUCGUGGGGGAUAACGUAGGGAAAAUUACGCUAAUACCGCAUACGACCUACGGGUGAAAGCAGGGGAUCUUCGGACCUUGCGCGAUUGAAUGAGCCGAUGUCGGAUUAGCUAGUUGGCGGGGUAAAGGCCCACCAAGGCGACGAUCCGUAGCUGGUCUGAGAGGAUGAUCAGCCACACUGGAACUGAGACACGGCCCAGACUCCGACGGGAGGCAGCAGUGGGUAAUAUUGGACAAUGGGCGCAAUCCUGAUCCAGCCGUACCGCGUGGGUGAAGAAGGCCUUCGGGUUGUAAAGCCCUUUUGUUGGGAAAGAAAAGCAGCAGGUUAAUACCCCGCUGUUCUGACGGUACCCAAAGAAUAAGCACCGGCUAACUUCGUG